UUUGUUCGGCCCCCCUCUUUCUCACUCCCUCUCUCGUCCCUCGCUCCUCGUCCCUCGUCGGAGGCACCCAGCUUGAGCUGUGAUUCGAGCGGAGUCAGCGGAACUUCAUCGGCCUCGGAGUGGUGAUGCGAGCCUUGCUGCCAUCCGUUCCCAGCGGAAGCAGGACUGAGCUGCUGUGGCCCCCAAAAUAGUCCCCUGUGACCACCCGGGACACAGCGAGCCUGUGCCGAGCCAGACCAAAUCAGGCGGAGAAUCGGUGACUUGGACUACACCCAGAGUGAAGAGGACUAAUGGGACACUGUUGGAUCCACUGGUGGUGAUAUCCCUCUCUAUCUCUUUCUCUCUUGCGUGCGCACGCAUGCACUCUCUCUCUCUCUCCCCUCUCUUUUGAUGAAUGUUGAUCUGUUCAAAAGGUGCGGCAUGGAACUUGUUUAUGUAGUUAAAGUAAAUGCUGUCGAGUUAUCAUAUUUAGCCACAUGCCUUGUCUUUUGUGUUAAUAAAUCAUAAAGCUGG